CCUAAACUUACAGGGAGAGAAGGGGGAGAUGGGGUUAACAGGUCCUCCUGGAGAUCAGGGGUUGGAGGGGACACAAGGCCCUGUGGGUCAGACAGGGAGUGCUGGCCUAAAAGGAGAACAAGGAGACAUUGGUCCUCAUGGGGAAUGGGGGACCCCAGGUCUACCUGGACUGCCUG